rnacentral:rRNA from 1 species
GACGGACGCUGGCGGCGUGCUUAACACAUGCAAGUCGAACGGAAAGGCCCUGCUUUUGUGGGGUGCUCGAGUGGCGAACGGGUGAGUAACACGUGAGUAACCUGCCCUUGACUGUGGGAUAACUUCAGGAAACUGGGGCUAAUACCGGAUAGGAGCUCCUGCUGCAUGGGGGGGGUUGGAAAGUUUCGGCGGUGGGGGAUGGACUCGCGGCUUAUCAGCUUGUUGGUGGGGUAGGGGCUGACCAAGGCUUUGACGGGUAGCCGGCCUGAGAGCGUGACCGGCCACAUUGCGCCUGAGAUACGGCCCAGACUCCUACGUGACGCAGCAGUGGGGAGUCUUGCACAAUGGGCGCACGCCUGAUGCAGCAACGCCGCGUGCGUGAUGACGGCCUUCGGGUUGUAAACCGCUUUCGCCUGUGCCGAAGCGUGAGUGACGGUAAUGGGUAAAGAAGCCCCGGCUAACUACGUG